AGGGACCUACCCAAGGUAGUCCAGCUUGCGCCGCGCCUAAUGGCCCCGUGAUAGUGUACACUCCCCACGGCAAUCCACUUCGGCACCCAAUCCCGCACGGGCGAGCAACUGUCGCGUAGGCCAACUCCGGAGUGCCGGCUUGUAGGGAGCUACCCUCACAAGCAUGUGCGAAUGAGCACGAUGGCAAGCAAGCAAAGUCUACAAUCCCACAUGUCUCAACUAUCACAAUUUAGCUCACAA
rnacentral:lncRNA from 1 species